GAGGGAGGCGUCUGGUUGAGAAGGUUUCAAUGGUUUGUCGUGGAGCCUGGAGAGGUCACCCAACCAGUGAGUGGGGUGGGUCCACCCUUGAAGUUUCAAAUUGGGGGAGGGUCCAAAAAGGGGCAGAGCCCAAACUAAUGAGGGUAGGGGUUGAGAAGAGGGAGUCAUCUCUUACAGGUUUCCAACUGAGGGUUUAGCCACUAUGUACCUGCUCUUAGAGUCCAGCUCCUGCUUGUCCACCCUCUUUUUGUCCUACUGAGAGGCAGAAUCUGGGGACAAGUGGAGCCAAAAAGGGGUAUCACCAGCCAGUAAUGGCGUGAGGGCUAGUCCCAAGAUAUGAAGUGGGCAGGACAGAUUCAGAUUUUGCUAGUGGAAUCUGUAGGUGGUCCUUCUUCCUCGUACCUAAUGCCAAGGUAGGAAUAAGCAAGGGCACCUAGUAUAUCUUGCUCUUGGAGGAAUUCCUCCUGGAUCGAGGCUUUGGAUGGCUGGAGGGACAGGAAUUCUUUAUUCCAGACAGUAGACCAAUAGACCUUCCUUGAGAAAGCUCCAAGAUUGGGGAGGAUUGAGUGGAGCAAAGGCUUAUGGAGGAGACAGCUGAAGUCUUACCUUCAGGAAAUUCAGUAUGGAAGGGGAUAAGGAAGGGAAACCCCAGCCUAGGCAACGGCUUGGUACUGAGAGACUUAGAUGCUCCCCUCGGGGCAGCAACAGCCAUAAGGAAGCGCAUUUUAGGCAUAUGGCCCAACUAGGGUGCAAAAGUCCAGAGGAAGGAAGGGUCAGGCAUAUUCAGCCCUUGAGGAUGUUAGUGUAGAGUUAUCAGGCAGAGUGCUGUGGCUCUGCCUUGAGCCCCAUCUUGUCACUCCAGGUCGUGGGUGAGCCUUUACUGUGUGCUUAGUAAGGGGGAACUGGGCUUCUACAAGGACUCCAAGGGCCCAGCAUCCGGGAGCACACACGGUGGGGAGCCGCUGCUCAGCCUGCACAAGGCCACCAGCGAGGUGGCUAGUGACUACAAGAAAAAGAAGCAUGUCUUCAAGCUCCAGACCCAGGAUGGCAGUGAGUUUUUGCUCCAGGCAAAAGAUGAGGAGGAGAUGAACGGCUGGCUGGAGGCUGUGGCAGCCUCAGUGGCAGAACACGCAGAGAUCGCCCGCUGGGGCCAGACACUACCCACUACUUCAUCCACAGAUGAGGGCAACCCUAAGAGGGAAGGCGGAGAUCGCAGGGCCAGCGGGCGCAGGAAGUGACUUCC